rnacentral:tRNA from 1 species
AGUACAUCAGCCUUCCAAGCUGGGGACGAGGGUUCGACUCCCUUCACCCGCUCCA